UACGGAGGAUCCGAGCGUUAUCCGGAUUUAUUGGGUUUAAAGGGUGCGUAGGUGGGCCUAUAAGUCAGUGGUGAAAGUUUUCAGCUCAACUGAAAAAUUGCCGUUGAAACUGUAGGUCUUGAGUGCAAAUGAGGUAGGCGGAAUGUGUUGUGUAGCGGUGAAAUGCAUAGAUAUAACACAGAACUCCAAUUGCGAAGGCAGCUUACUGGGAUGCAACUGACACUGAGGCACGAAAGCGUGGGUAUCAAACAGGAUUAGAUACCCUGGUAGUCCACGCAGUAAACGAUGAAUACUAGCUGUAUGCGAUACACUGCAUGUGGCACAGCGAAAGCGUUAAGUAUUCCACCUGGGGAGUACGUUCGCAAGAAUGAA
rnacentral:rRNA from 1 species